rnacentral:rRNA from 1 species
UACGUAGGGCGCAAGCGUUAUCCGGAAUUAUUGGGCGUAAAGAGCUCGUAGGCGGUUUGUCGCGUCUGCCGUGAAAGUCCGGGACUCAACUCCGGAUCUGCGGUGGGUACGGGCAGACUAGAGUGAUGUAGGGGAGACUGGAAUUCCUGGUGUAGCGGUGAAAUGCGCAGAUAUCAGGAGGAACACCGAUGGCGAAGGCAGGUCUCUGGGCCACUACUGACGCUGAGUGAGCGAAAGCCAGGGGAGGCAAACGGG